rnacentral:rRNA from 1 species
GACGAACGCUGGCGGCGUGCUUAACACAUGCAAGUCGAACGGAAAGGCCCUGCUUUUGUGGGGUGCUCGAGUGGCGAACGGGUGAGUAACACGUGAGUAACCUGCCCUUGACUUUGGGAUAACUUCAGGAAACUGGGGCUAAUACCGGAUAGGAGCUCCUGCUGCAUGGUGGGGGUUGGAAGGUUUCGGCGGUUGGGGAUGGACUCGCGGCUUAUCAGCUUGUUGGUGGGGUAGUGGCUUACCAAGGCUUUGACGGGUAGCCGGCCUGAGAGGGUGACCGGCAACAUUGGGACUGAGAUACGGCCCAGACUCCUACGGGAGGCAGCAGUGGGGAAUAUUGCACAAUGGGCGGAAGCCUGAUGCAGCAACGCCGCGUGCGGGAUGACGGCCUUCGGGGCGUAAACCGCUUUCGCCUGUGACGAAGCGUGAGUGACGGUAAUGGGUAAAGAAGCACCGGCUAACUACGUG